GUCGGCAUGUCACAACCUGUUCAACGACUGAUUUAUUUUGUAUUGUCAUUGCUACAUGCUCUGUAUAACCUCUAUACAGAGGUAGCCCUCUACCCUGCAUGUUGGAGCCCAUGUGCAACUGUAAACAUGGUAUGAAAAAAAAAUU